rnacentral:rRNA from 1 species
UGUCCUCCUUUGCAUGUACCUUGCGAAUAAGGAUCGGCUAACUCCGUGCCAGCAGCCGCGGUAAUACGGAGGAUCCGAGCGUUAUCCGGAUUUAUUGGGUUUAAAGGGUGCGCAGGCGGGAUGUUAAGUCGGCGGUGAAAUUUUGCAGCUCAACUGUAAAAGUGCUUUCGAUACUGGCUUUCUUGAGUGUGGAUGAAGUAGGCGGAAUUUGUGGUGUAGCGGUGAAAUGCUUAGAUAUCACGAGGAACUCCGAUUGCGCAGGCAGCUUACUAAACCACUACUGACGCUCAUGCACGAAGGCGUGUGGAUCAAACAGGAUUAGAUACCCUGGUAGUCCACGCAGUAAACGAUGAUUACUAGUUGUUUGCGAUACAAUGUAAGCGACUGAGCGAAAGCGUUAAGUAAUCCACCUGGGGAGUACGUUCGCAAGAAUGAAACUCAAAGGAAUUGACGGGGGCCCGCACAAGCGGAGGAACAUGUGGUUUAAUUCGAUGAUACGCGAGGAACCUUACCCGGGCUUGAAAUGCGGCGGACCGGCAGAGAGAUCUGCCUUCCCUUCGGGGCCGCCGUGUAGGUGCUGCAUGGUUGUCGUCAGCUCGUGCCGUGAGGUGUCGGCUUAAGUGCCAUAACGAGCGCAACCCUCAUCAUUAGUUACUAACAGGUCAUGCUGAGGACUCUAGUGAGACUGCCAUCGUAAGAUGCGAGGAAGGUGGGGAUGACGUCAAAUCAGCACGGCCCUUACGUCCGGGGCGACACACGUGUUACAAUGGGUGGUACAAAGGGCAGCUACCUGGCGACAGGAUGCUAAUCUCCAAAACCACUCUCAGUUCGGAUCGGAGUCUGCAACUCGACUCCGCGAAGCUGGAUUCGCUAGUAAUCGCGCAUCAGCCACGGCGCGGUGAAUACGUUCCCGGGCCUUGUACACACCGCCCGU